GAACAUGCUACCUCAAAAGCAAUUUAGUGCUUGAUGCUGUUAACACUGAAUAGCUGCGAGAGCCCAUGUGGCAGAAGAGGAAAACUGCUUGGGGUCAGUGUGGGACCUGGUCAAGGCCAGCCUUCCUUGGGGUGCUGCUUCCUGGGACAGGCAUUGUGUCCACGAAGGGAGCAUCUCAGAUGCAGACUCAAGAUUCAGACACACUCUCCUGGUCUCACAAUCCUGUGUUUGGGUCUUGAUGUGGUGCUACCAGGAUCUCAGGUGGGACCAAGCACUUCUGAAGCCUCCUCUCCCACUGAGACCCUUAUGGGGUAGAUUGACAUUUGAUGGAGCUGGUGCAAAACUAACCAGCUAGUGAAGGCUAAGCAUGAUGCCCAGCCUGUGGCAUGGUAGCCCUGGCCUGACACCUCCUGCAAGGCUUGGUGACUUCUUGUUGGCUUGCAGAUUUCCAGAUUCCUCUGCAUACACUGUCAGAGUGCUGCUAUUUACAAGUUCUCCCCCCAGGGCAAACAGUCCCAGGCUGUGUCACUGCCGGACUCUGCUGGCGGAGCCAAAGAAGGGAAAGGCAGUGUCAUUGCGCAUGGAUGCAAAGGACUGCUUUCUUGUCUGGCAAAAGAGGAACCCUGAUGACUUUGAGUCACUUAAAGUAUUUAAUUAAAUCUAUAAUAAAUACUUUGCAAUGC